GAAUUGAUAUUAGAAAUCUCGUGCUUUGGGGUUUUCCUUUUUAAACCUCUGUGCUCAGCAUUCAGUGACAUGUUGAGAAGCAAGGUCAUUUAUUCAUGUUUCAUGCAAUGUCUGAGCUCCAUUCACGUAUGACCACUGUCGGCCCUGAGUCCCACCCCACCCCAACCCUGGCUCCUUUAUCUAAGCAUCGUGUGCUGAUGGCACGUUUCCAUUUUCUGCCCCUUCCUCUCACACCUUAUGAAUCUGCUUUUUUCUUUGUGACGUCACUUCCCACAACUCUCCCUAGCUUCACGAGCGCUUUUGUCAUAAUUCACCUGUUUAGGUUCAAAAGUGCCAUCAAUUUCAAGCAGGAAAAAUGAAUGUAAAUCCAUACUAAGAUCAGAAUGAAACUUUAAAAACUCCAAAGAAGAAUCUCAUUGAAAUGUGACCUGCCCGUGCAUCACCCAAGCUGAACUAGCCCUCAUCUGAAAUGCAAGACUCGGUCAUAUCUCUCCUGACGAAACUGGUGACAUAGUGGUUUGGUUGCAGUUUCUUGUGCGUGUUUUAAUCCUGACUCACUAGAUAACGAGCUGUCUGUGGUCAGAGACACAAGGUCGUGUUACUUUGUAGCCUUAGUGAUACCCAACAAGGUAUUUUCUGCAUAAUAGAUGAUGAAUAAUUAUUUAAUAAAGAAUCUCUGCUUUUAACUAUCA